rnacentral:lncRNA from 1 species
CUUUGACUAAAAUUUCACAAGGAUUUAUAUCGGGUCCAUAAGUAGUGGCAAUUGCCCUAUGAAGACUCGCUUUCGCUAGGGCUCCGGUGGGUUCCCUUAACCAAGCCACUGCCUAUGAGUCGCUGGCUCAUUCUUCAACAGGCAUGCGGUUAGAGACCUGGCUCUUCUCACUACUUGGGAGCUUACGGUUUCAUUUAAAUAGAAAAAAAAAUCCUAUUUAGGGUUAAAAUGAAUUACAAUUAAGAAACAAAAAUUGGAUUUUGGGA